UUGUGAGAAGUUCACUAAACCUUAUCAUUUAGAGGAAGGAGAAGUCGUAACAAGGUUUCCGUAGGUGAACCUGCGGAAGGAUCAUUG
rnacentral:rRNA from 1 species